GCCAGACAUUUUGGCACGCAUGCCUAUAGUCCCAGCUACUCAGGAGGCUGAGGCAGGAGGAUCACUUGAGCCCAGGAGUUCUGGGCUGUAGUGCGCUAUGCUGAUCAGGUGUCUGCACUAAGUUAGGCAUCAAUAUGGUGACCAACUGGGAGCAGGGGACCACCAGGUUGCCUAAGGAGGGGUGAACCGGCCCAGGUCGGAAACAGAGCAGGUCAAAACUCCAGUGCUGAUCAACAGUGGGAUCGUGCCUGUGAAUAGCCACUGCACUCCAGCCUGGGCAAUAUCGUGAGACCCAGUCUCU
rnacentral:SRP_RNA from 1 species